UGACGAGUUUGAUCCUGGCUCAGAUUGAACGCUGGCGGAAUGCUUUACACAUGCAAGUCGAACGGUAGAGGGGGCAACCCCUCGAGAGUGGCGAACGGGUGAGUAAUAUAUCGGAACGUGCCCAGUCGUGGGGGAUAACGUAGCGAAAGUUACGCUAAUACCGCAUACGAUCUAAGGAUGAAGCGGGGAUCGCGAAGACCUCGCGCGAUUGGAGCGGCCGAUAUCAGAUUAGGUAGUUGGUGGGGUAAAGGCUCACCAAGCCGACGAUCUGUAGCUGGUCUGAGAGGAUGGCCAGCCACAUUGGGGACUGAGACACGGCCCAAACUCCGUACGGG
rnacentral:rRNA from 1 species